CCUACGGGUGGCAGCAGUGAGGAAUAUUGGUCAAUGGGCGCGAGCCUGAACCAGCCAAGUCGCGUGAGGGAAGACGGCCCUACGGGUUGUAAACCUCUUUUGCCGGGGAGCAACGGGCGCCACGUGUGGCGCCACUGAUAGUACCCGGAGACAAAGCAUCGGCUAACUCCGUGCCAGCAGCCGCGGUAAUACGGAGGAUGCGAGCGUUAUCCGGUUUUAUUGGGUUUAAGGGGUGCGUAGGCGGGGCGUUAAGUCAGUGGUCAAAUUGAGGGGCUCAACCCCUUCCCGCCAUUGAAACUGGCGAGCUUGAGUGGAAGAGAAGUAGGCGGAAUGCGUGGUGUAGCGGUGAAAUGCAUAGAUAUCACGCAGAACCCCGAUUGCGAAGGCAGCAUGCCGGAUUCCGACUGACGCUGAAGCACGAAAGUGUGGGUAUCAAACAGGAUUAGAUACCCUAGUAGUC
rnacentral:rRNA from 1 species